GUCGAUGUGUAUUUUGUAACAGUCUAUCUAUGCCUGAAAACAUCAUCUCUCUUGCUGGUAAAUCGUUUGCAGAUCGUGGGCAAGAAGAAAGCUCUAACAAUGUUUACUGUACUACACAAGCCUGUGGCAACCUGCAAGUUGUAAUUGGCUUGGGCAUUUUACCAUCUCAUCUCAAGUGUAAGCUGACGAUUUGUUAACAGUUCAGAACCUCCGAACC
rnacentral:sRNA from 1 species